UAAGGAAAAGUGUUCAUGCACAUAGACCUUUGAAGUCUAAAGUUCUCCCUUAA
rnacentral:tRNA from 1 species